CAGCCCGCAAGACCUCGCCGCCUGCCCAGCUCUGUCAUUGACUAAGGUUGCUUUUGUCAGUACAGCCGCCAGGGGUUUCCACGCUCAUUCCCCUCCGGACAAGGUGGACAGCUUUGGUGAUAGACAACUGGGAGGUAAAACUCCACAGAGCCAUGCCAGCGACUGACCGCCCAGGGACAGGAGAUGGAGACGUUCAGCUGCAAAGGCUACGGAGGAACCCCCGCAAUUGGAAUCUCUCCAUGCCUUCUGCAGCAUGGAAACAUACUCCGGGACCUACCGGGGCUCUCUCGGGCCACCUCUGAGUGCAAGGGAAAAGAGUGCAGUUCAAGGAAGGGAAUGUGUCUGUCAUCCCACCACUUGCGCGCAAGGCCAGUUCCGGGAUCAGCAGGCUUCCUUCACCAGCACGGGCUCUUCAUUAGCAACCACUGGGAGGGAAUGUGUGCGGAGUCAUGUCAAGAUGGGAAGGCACAUGUUCCUAUCUUGACAGCAGCAGAAAGAAAAAUGGCAGCAGAAGGAAAACAGCAGCAGAAAGAAAAAUUUGACUCAGAUGGGUUGAGAGGGCAAUGGCAAGCAAUCUUGGUACAUGUCAGCUGCAUCUCAGAGUCUCGCUUUGUUGCCCAGGCAGUGGCAUGAUCUUGGCUCACUCCAAACUCCGCCUCCUGAGUUCAAGCUGCUCGCUGGAAUUACAGGUGCCCGCCACCACAGCUGUCUAAUUUCUUGGUUUUUGUUUUUGUUUUUGAGAUGGAGUUUCGCUCUUGUCACCCAGGCUGGAGUGCCAUGGUGCAAUCUCAGCUCACUGCAACCUCUGCCUCCCAGGUUCAAGUGAUUCUCCGGCUUCAGCCUCCCAAGUAGCUAGGAUUACAGGCAUGCGCCACCACACCCGGCUAAUUUUUUGUAUUUUUAGUAGAGAUGGG
rnacentral:lncRNA from 1 species